CCUACGGGUGGCAGCAGUGAGGAAUAUUGGUCAAUGGGCGCGAGCCUGAACCAGCCAAGUAGCGUGAGGGAUGACUGCCCUACGGGUUGUAAGCUUCUUUUGUAAGGGAGUAGAGUGAGGCACGUGUGCCUGUUUGUGUGUACUUUAUGAAUAAGCAUCGGCUAACUCCGUGCCAGCAGCCGCGGUAAUACGGAGGAUCCGAGCGUUAUCCGGAUUUAUUGGGGUUAAAGGGAGCGUAGAUGGGUUGUUAAGUCAGUUGUGAAAGUUUGCGGCUCAAACGCAAAAUAGCAAUUGAAACUGGCAGUCUUGAGUACAGGUGAGGUAGGCGGAAUUCGUGGUGUAGCGGUGAAAUGCUUAGAUAUCACGAAGAACUCCGAUUGCGAAGGCAGCCUACUA
rnacentral:rRNA from 1 species